rnacentral:lncRNA from 1 species
GGGCACUCGUAAGGUGUCCAAAGCAAUGCAUACACGAAGGGGGUAUAACCUAAACUCUAUGAGUAGUGAGAGUGUGAUAGAGUUUUAAAGAGAUUGAGUUAAAAACAGUUGAGAAAUUAUCCAUAUAGGACCAGUUUUGAAGGAAAACCAUAGAAGAGUAUGAUAGAGUUCUAUAAAGCAAUUGAGUUUAAAAAAAUAGUUAAAGAUGAUUCAUAUAGAACCAGGUUUGAAAGAAAACAACAGAAGAGUAUGAUAGAGUUCUAAGACAAUAUCAGACUAGAGUAUCAUGUAUGGUUCUGG